rnacentral:rRNA from 1 species
GACGAACGCUGGCGGCGUGCUUAACACAUGCAAGUCGAACGGAAAGGCCCUGCCUUUGUUGGGUGGUCGAGUGGCGAACGGGGGAGAAAGACGUGUGUAACCUGCCCUUGACUUUCGGAUAUCUUCUGGAAACCGGGGCUAAUACCGCUAAUGAGCUAUUGCACCGCGGGGGGGGGUGGAUAGUGUCGGCGGUUGGGGUUGGACUCGCGGCUUAUCAGCCUGGUGGUCGGGUAGUGGCUUACCAAGGCUUCGACGGGUAGCCGGCCUGGGAGGGUGGCCGGCCACAAUGGGACUAAGCUACGGCGCAGACGCAGACGGGAGGCAGGGGUGGGGAGUAGUACACAGUGGGCGGGAGCCUGAGGCGGCGACGCCGCGUGCGGGAUGACGGCCUUCGGGUUAUAAGCCGCUUUCGGCUGUGACGGAGCGGGAGUGACGGUAGUGGGUAAAGAAGCACCGGCUAACUACGUG